rnacentral:ncRNA from 1 species
CUGCACUUCUGGCAAACUAUCUGAAAAGUUAGGACGCAAAGUCUCCGGUCUGUCGACUUACUCAAGUCUAUGAUAGCGGGACCGCCACC